rnacentral:lncRNA from 1 species
UUUUGGAAUCUAAAGUUGGGGAGAGUAAAGUGAAAAGUUGAUUAGAAACUUGGAAAAGUGAGUUUUUAUGAAAGGGUAAAAAUAUAAAAAGAAACAAGAAAAAGAAAUCACCCUUGAAACCAUAGAGCAAAGAAAAAAGAAAAGAAAGAAAAAAAGCAAAGAAAAUGCUCAUGGUUGUGUGGAUGUAAAAAGAAAAAGAAAAAAGAUAGGGAUCAAAGAAAGGGAAAUUGUGUAGAGUUGAAUGUUUGGGAAUGCUCCCUUAGAAUAG